rnacentral:rRNA from 1 species
AAUCAACGCUGGCGGCGUGCCUCAGACAUGCAAGUCGAACGAUUAAAGCUCUCUUCGGAGAGUGUAUAGAGUGGCGCACGGGUGAGUAACGCGUAAGUAAUCUACCCUCGAGUGGGGAAUAACGUCCGGAAACGGACGCUAAUACCGCAUAAUGCAGCGGCACCGCAAGGUGACAGUUGUUAAAGAUUUAUCGCUUGAGGAGGAGCUUGCGGCAGAUUAGCUAGUUGGUAAGGUAAUGGCUUACCAAGGCUACGAUCUGUAACCGGUCUAAGAGGACGGUCGGUCACACUGACACUGAAUAACGGGUCAGACUCCUACGGGAGGCAGCAGUCGGGAAUUUUGGGCAAUGGGCGAAAGCCUGACCCAGCUACGCCGCGUGAAGGAUGAAGUAUUUCGGUAUGUAAACUUCGAAAGAAUAGGAAGAAUAAAUGACGGUACUAUUUAUAAGGUCCGGCUAACUACGUGCCAGCAGCCGCCGCCGUAA